rnacentral:rRNA from 1 species
GACGUAGGGGGCGAGCGUUGUCCGGAUUUAUUGGGCGUAAAGGGUUCGCAGGCGGCUGAGUAAGUCAGGUGUGAAAUCUCCAGGCUCAACCUGGAGCGGCCACCUGAUACUGCUCUGGCUAGAGUCCGGUAGGGGCGCACGGAAUACCCGGUGUAGCGGUGAAAUGCUUAGAUAUCGGGUGGAACACCAGUGGCGAAGGCGGUGCGCUGGGCCGGAACUGACGCUCAUGAACGAAAGCGUGGGUAGCAAACAGG